CUUUUCCUCCCUUUCUUUAUUCUCCGAUAAGAGAAAGUAUGAUCUCUAUUUUUAGCCGUUUCGUCCAAUCUCGCUGUCGCCUUGAGAGCAUUUCCUCCCCGGCGGCUAAUUGAUUUCAGGUCUCGGCUCGAUUUCUAGUGUUUCGAUCAGUAGAGCACGGUUAGAGAAGACCGCCAUGGAUUGGGGAAACGUGAUCGUUGUGUACCCGAUCGAUGUCCUCCACAACUCAGAGUUCUUCAUCCGAUUCACCUUCCCCGGAUCGAUCCUACUCCAAAUGGAAUAGUCGAUUCAAGUGCAACCUCUACUACGAAGGACCAAUUACUUCAUUCUGAUCAUGUUCCUUCCGGCCAUGGGGUUUAUUUCGAAGCCUCUUGCCGUUGUUGUUGCCUUUCUCACAGGUCUAAGCAUCGCAUUCGUAGAUGAAAGUGCUGGAGGUGCAACAACAGCAGAUAUCUAUAAAGAGCAUGUAUGAGUCGAUGACAUGAGAACCGAAUAUGAAGAUGGAAUAAAACUGAUUGUGCUUUAGGCACUUACGAUUUUUAUUUGCUUGUUGUCAACUCCACGAUCUUUCAACAAGUCAAUGGCUGCAACUAUUGUACCACCUGGAUUACAGAGUUAUGCCAUAAAUCAGGCCACAGGCACAACUGCUAAGCACUUUUGAAGUGCAUAGUUACACUCAAGAAAAAGUCUGUCUUGAGCAAAAGAAAGUAUUAAAGCCAGGAAAAAUUUUAGUCAGGCAUUAUUUUCCCUAAACAUGCUAACAUUGACAAAUAACAGUUGGCCACACAUACAUGGUAUGCUGGAGGCCAGCAGCAGAGCUCACUGGUCAAGUUGAAAAUCAAUUAUCUCCCUCUUUUUGAAAGUAAACUUCAAAGGCACAAUUAGUUGUGGAACAGAAUGAUAGACCACAUUUGUUAACUACAUAGAAAAUGUUAGAUAGCAGAGAACCUAUGGAGUUUUAUUUUAUACCUAUGGAAUUGUAUCAUAAAGAGCCUUCCAAAAGAGGUCCCUAUUCUGCUUUUC